ensembl:snoRNA SNORA74 Small nucleolar RNA SNORA74
CCCAGCUGCAAGCAACUGUCUAGGUUGAUUGCACCUAGGCAAGUGUUAAACUGCUGGGAGAAAAGCAGCUAGUAGCUGGCAGGCAUUCUGGGUCUGGUUAAUGCCAGAUUUG